AUUGAACGCUGGCGGCAUGCCUUACACAUGCAAGUCGAACGGCAGCACGGGAGCAAUCCUGGUGGCGAGUGGCGAACGGGUGAGUAAUAUAUCGGAACGUGCCCAGUCGUGGGGGAUAACGCAGCGAAAGCUGUGCUAAUACCGCAUACGAUCUAUGGAUGAAAGCGGGGGACUCGCAAGGGCCUCGCGCGAUUGGAGCGGCCGACAUCAGAUUAGGUAGUUGGUGGGGUAAAGGCUCACCAAGCCGACGAUCUGUAGCUGGUCUGAGAGGACGACCAGCCACCCUGGAACUGGGACACGGUCCAGACUCCUACGGGAGGCAGCAGUGGGGAAUUUUGGACAAUGGGCGCAAGCCUGAUCCAUCAAUGCCGCGUGCAGGAUGAAGGCCUUCGGGUUGUAAACUGCUUUUGUACGGAACGAAAAGGCUCUGGUUAAUACCUGGGGCACAUGACGGUACCGUAAGAAUAAGCACCGGCUAACUACGUGCCAGCAGCCGCCGCCGUAA
rnacentral:rRNA from 1 species